GAGUAACGCGCGAGCAACCUGUCCCUUAACGGAGGGGAUAACACAGACGAAAGUUGUACUAAUACCGCAUGAGACCACGGUGAGACAUCUCACAGGGGUCAAAGGAGCAAUCCGGUAAGGGGUGGGCUCGCGUCCGAUUAGAUAGUUGGUGAGGUAACGGCCCACCAAGUCAACGAUCGGUAGCCGACCUGAGAGGGUGAUCGGCCACAUUGGGACUGAGACACGGCCCAAACUCCUACGGGAGGCAGCAGUGGGGAAUAUUGGGCAAAAUGGGGGGAACCCUGACCCAGCAACGCCGCGUGAGGGAAGAAGGUUUUCGGAUCGUAAACCUCUGUCCUUGGUGAAGAGGAAGAGACGGUAGCCAAGGAGGAAGCCCCGGCUAACUACGUGCCAGCCGCGGC
rnacentral:rRNA from 1 species